rnacentral:rRNA from 1 species
CCUACGGGGGGCAGCAGUCGGGAAUAUUGCGCAAUGGAGGAAACUCUGACGCAGUGACGCCGCGUGCAGGAAGAAGGUUUUCGGAUUGUAAACUGCUUUAGACAGGGAAGAUACAAGACAGUACCUGUAGAAUAAGCUCCGGCUAACUACGUGCCAGCAGCCGCGGUAAUACGUAGGGAGCAAGCGUUAUCCGGAUUUAUUGGGUGUAAAGGGUGCGUAGACGGGAAAUUAAGUUAGUUGUGAAAUCCCUCGGCUUAACUGAGGAACUGCAACUAAAACUGGUUUUCUUGAGUGCUGGAGAGGAAAGUGGAAUUCCUAGUGUAGCGGUGAAAUGCGUAGAUAUUAGGAGGAACACCAGUGGCGAAGGCGACUUUCUGGACAGUAACUGACGUUGAGGCACGAAAGUGUGGGGAGCAAACAGGAUUAGAUGCCCGGGUAGUC